CGGUUAAUUUCCAAUGUCGUCCCCUUUCAAAACACGAUCUUACGGCGGGACGAUAUGUACACAUCUUCCUGUGGCCAGCAGCAGUGAUGGCAACGCUGUAGGCACCUCCUUCCCUUAGGAAAAAGCCAAACAUUUCACGAAGUCCUUCUGUGCUUUUAGAUGAAACUGGAAAAUGACCUUCAUUGGAAAAGUCCCAGUCCUCGGGGAGCAGAUCCCCCAUCUCUGGCAGUGCAGUGCGCCUGGGCGCUGUCUGGAACAUUCCGCAACAGUCACUCCUCUGCCCUGCAUUGGCCUUGACCACAUGACCCAGAGGCACAGGGAGAAGCCUCCCCUGGAUGCUUGGUGAGUUGACUUCAGCGGCUGAGAGUGUCUAAGGAGAGCCGGGAGCACCACACGCUUCCUGCAGAUGGUGGGGCAGAUCUGUGUGCAGGAGUGCCUGAAGGGGAUCUCCUGUGGCGCUGCCUGGUCCAGGGAGGUCACAGAGUGCUCCUCCACCCUGAGCACAAGGGGUCCCACCAAGGACAAGGAUGAGAUUCAGCAGCAUCGCACGCAGAACAGCUGCGUGGAGCCACAGGUCACUUUCCCAAAAGGGAGUCUCCAAGCCAGAAGCCAUCCCUGCAGCGUUGUCUUCGUGCUCCAAGAGAAGCCCUGGCACACACUUCUGCUCAGAUGGAACCACUGUACCCUCAGCGUCCUUGUCAGUCCCAGCCGGUGACUUUCCUACCCAAACCCUUCCCUCACUCCCUGCCUCAUUUUCUCAAGGUGCCGUGUUUGCCUGAAAGGACAUUUGCGGCCAGCAGGGGUGGUGGCUGGUCCUCUAGCUGGGCACGAAUGCCACUGGCGGGCAACCUGGCAGACUCCAUGGAAAGGUGCUUCCCUUCCUCAAGGUAUGCACUCAGCGGGGAGACCUCAUUGUCAAGUUCAGAGUUACGCUGCAGACUGCACAGCACCUCGCCUGCUUCUAGGACCUGCUCUGGUCAGCCCCGGACCCGCCACAGCAGGACCCCGAAUCCUGUGCUCACCCAGGGCUUGUCCAUGGCACUGGAAACUCCUUCCUGUUCCUGAUCCCUUCUGGGUGAGGGGUGGGCAGGGACAUGUGGCUCGUGCCGAGGUCUAAUACUGUGUUCCCAGCAUGGAAGUAGGUGCCCUGAAGAGGAGUGGGGACACUUCUUGUGGCAUGCAGGAUUCCGUGUAGAAAGCUGUGACUGUCACCCCUCCUUCCCACUCGGUUUUGUGAGUGGACCUUUCCCUGGCCUUUCUCUCCUUGGCCCACUCUUGGCAGGAGAGAGGAGGAGAGGAUCUCACUUUCCCCUGCACCAGCCACAGCCUCGGUCUGCGGGGUUCCCAGCAGCUGGCCAGGGCCGCUCCACACCUGGUGGUCAAGUAACCAUCCCCUCACUGUGGACAUCUGCACCCUCUCUGGAGUUGGAACAGGAAAGAAAGCCAAGACCUUUAAGUGGACCUUGAGUUGAGACUCAUUUCUGUGGAGUCAGGGGUGAGGAGGAGCCAGGCCUCCUGUGUGCUCUCCAUACCGCAGAGCCGGGUGCCCAGUUCCAUGGGUCCUGAUGGACAGAAGGGAACAGCAGGGAGACUGCUGCACCGUGGGUGGCAAUGCAGGGGCUGCCGUCUCCAGCUGAGUGCCCAGGGACUCCUGGGGGCCGCUGGCCCUGGAUCCCAGCAGUGGGUCCUGUUUCUUCUUUCCUAUCUGAAUGCAGGGCCCGCCACCCCCAAACGUCCCCUCCACAUUUGGUGAAAUAGGAAGCUCCAUGGCUCUUAGCCAUCUUUCAGGGUGACUGAGAGAUUGGUUUUCACAGAAGCCUCAGUGGCCUGGUCCGUGUCCCCCUCUGCACGCGGGUGCAGAAAGUGAAGGAUUGUCAGGGAGCGGGGCAGACAUUUGGUUUAUCUAUGUCGUUGGUCAAAGUUUUGUUUUUCCUCCAGAAGAAAAAGGCUUCUGGACAUGCCACCGUGUUCUUCAUUCCUUCUUUUGGAAAUGUAUGAAGAACGGGUGGUAUGUUGAGUGAUUGGUCCGUGAACAGUUGGCCCAGAGGAAGAGGUAGAUGUGGAUGGGUGUGGCCGCCUCUGCCCCUCCCCAGUGCAGGUGGGUGUGGGCAGCCCAGGCAGGCGCUCAGGAAGGGUGAGGUGGAGCCUUGCACACUCUGAGCACAAAGUCCUGGGAUCCCUUAAACCCAGGCGCUGCCUCGACGGCAGCCAGCAUGGCUGAUAGAAGAGACACAGAAGUCCAGCUGAGGCCAGACAGAGGGCGCCACUAGAGAGCCGCGCUACGUGGGGUCAUUCAAGUUGUCUCGGUGUAUGCAGACGUUGCUUCUAGAGAGUCAGAAGCUCUAUAUGCCUACUGUUGGAGCAGAAUUUGGGAUAGUGAUGGAAAGCCUCCUCCCAAGCCAGCUAGGGAGUAUGGGAGGUGGUGGCCGGAGGAACCUGGCAUCCCCGGGUUACGGCCACGGAGGUGGCUGUGCCUGCAGCUCGGCCUGUGCGUCAUCCUGACUCGCCCUGCUUUGGCCAUGGCUCUUCUUGUCCUUCCUUCUUCUCAGUGCAGGAGGACCCUGAAUCAAAUGCCUCAUCCUGGUUUGCAUUUUACCCUUGGAUGAAGCUUGUGGUGAACCCCAGGGCUCUGUGUCUCCUGAGUCUCUGCAGACCUCGGGUCCUGGGCCCAGAGACUCUUCUCCCUGGGGCAGGAGGCACUGGGAUGUGUGGACGGGGGUGUCCUGGGGCACAGUAGCUGACGGAGGGACUUCCUAGCUUUCUGGGCCUUUCCGACCCUGAGUGUGACCUUCCUAUUCUUGAUCACAGCCCCAACCUGGGAGCCUGCUGGAACCUGCAGAAUGCGGCUUCAGCCUGUUCCUCUGUGAGAAAAGGUGGGCCUGGCAGUCCCACAAAUCUUGUGUGUUCACCUCGGUGGUGAAUACAUUCUUGGGUGGUGAAUACGUUCUCUCCUUGCCUUCACUCUGGAAAAGGCCCCUGUUUGGUGAUGCAGGAUGUGGUCAAUGACUGACUCGUUCUUCAGAGUGUCAAUAUCCUCUGGACCGUAUACACAGCUCUGAUUUCUGGUGUUCCUGGGCUCUGCACACAGCAAGAGCCACUCUGGGCCUGUGAGAUGCAUCUUCUGGCUCACUUUCUUCUUGUUGGCUCUUUUCCCUGCAUCCUCUGCCACUGCUCUGUUCUGGGCAGGAGGCUCUCACCCUCUCCUGCCUCCCCUCUUUGAUCCUUUUCUGUGAGGGUCUGCUGGAGUCCUGUGUGUCGUGCAUCAUUGAUAGAUUCUGGUCGUGCUUGCUGUCCUCCCCAUUCUGAGGGACCUCUGAUUGCCUGUGAGCAGUUUACAGGGCCUCUCCUGGCCCCUUCACCCACAGCAUUCCUUCAACGGGUGAAUAUUUGUGAGGGGCGGAUCCUGGAAGUGACGUCAGGUGAGAAGGGAAAGUACAUUAACAAAGUACAUUAGCCCGGGGAGUUACUAAUGCCCGAAAUGUAUUGUCAAAGUUCUGAAGGCUGAGAAGUCCAAGAUCAAUUGCCUGAGGAUUUAGUGCCUGGUGAGGACCCAUUCCUUAGGGCAGUGCCUCCAGCUGUGUCCUCAUGUGGCCGAAGGGGACAAGGGAGGUUGCUGGAGCCUGUUUGAUGAGAGCACUAAACCUCCUUCAGGAGGAGAUUAUUGAGAAUGUCCGUCUGGUUUCAGGGCAUUCCCAAAGGCCCCACCUGUUCUUUCUACCCCAUUGGGAAUUAGGCUUCAACAUAUAAAUCUGGGGGACACUGACAUUUAGGCCAUAGCACGUCAAAGACAAAGUGAGGUUGAGUGUGGAAAACAUCCCAGAAUCUGGAUGUGGCCCAGACAGAAGGAAACUCAAAGUGAUGGGGUGACCGAUGGUCCCUGGUGUGUGUAGGACUCAGCGGUGAGGACGGCCCUGGGCACGGUGGCAGUGACUGUUGGAGGAUGAUAGGGAAUGUGUUGGCGGGAGGAGGGUGGAGCCCACUAUGAGUGGCAACUCCCUGGGGGUGCAGGAAGCAAAGCUACAGGCGACUCCCCUCUGCCCUCCCUGCACACAGUGUCACCUCUGUGGUGGCCCUGUCGUCCGCCUCAGUGCACAGGUGUUGCUGUAACAACUCCUGAAAUUACCUUCAAAAGGAGGGUUGUGCAGGUGCCUGCAGGAGACAGGAGGCUGCAGUGCAUCCUGAAUGUCCCGGGGACAGGCGAGCCUGGCAGGGGUCCACGGCCUCACAGUCCCAACGACUGCCUCAGAAACGGGCAGAGAGCAUGCUUGGUUCCAGCUUGCAGGGCCCGCAUCUCAGAGCUCUGGACAGUCAUCAAGAGUCCAUGAGCAUGAAGAGGGGACAAAAAUGAACCAGGAACCUCAGGCCGCUGUGCUGCCAUCCAGCCACGUGCAGCAGCAGCCCUUCGGGCCUGAAGAUCCUUCUGCCCUUCUCUGGGCCUUGCUGAUUUCCUCCUCCAGCCCCGCAGUGUGUGCGCUCACACACACACGCACACACGCACACACAGUGCAAUUUCCCUCUGCUCCCCUGUGCUCUUCAAAAUUCACUGGGUUCCUCUUUCCUCCUCAGAGACAUAGUCCUGGGCCCCAUCUCAGCCUACAGAGGCCUGAACCUUUCCCAGGAUCGUUUUCUAAUUCUCAUGUCUUGCGCAAAACAAAACUAAAACUAAAACGCUUUCUGAAAGGAAUAAUGCACCUAGUCCGGGUAUCUAAGCAUGUGGUGUGUAUGUUGUCUCAAACUGAAUACCUGUGAAACCACCACCUGUGCCGAAACCCAGUGUUUCCCAAGACCUAGAGGCUCUCUCCAGUUGCUAAUUGUGAUCACCUCUCCCGAUCACUGCUGAGCCCUGAAGGUCACCCUCUCCUGACCUAUUACACCGCUGACUGCUUACACAGGGCACAAUUCUAUACCUUUGCUGUUGUCCCAUCUAAUCAUCCCCAUAACCCUAUGAGAUCAUCGUUCCCAUAUGACAGAGGAGAAAGCUUGGGGACACAGGGGCUGUGUCCUGGCCAAGGCAUUGCUGGCAGCAAAAGGCAGAGCAGGCAUCCAGCCAGGAGCCCCAGCACAGUCCUGUUCUUCCCCCACUACACUGGGCUGUGAAAUAGAUCAUGGCAGUUUGGAAAACGGGCUAACUUCAUGCUGCGGGAGGUGGUGACGGAUGCCCACUGCUUUUCAUGGGAAUGUGUGGUGUCUCCAUGUCCCCCUCAGGUCUAGCCUCUCUCUGUGGCUCAAAACCUUGGGAAAGUGGGAGGCUCAGAGCAGGAAAGGGACUUACUUGCCCAAGGGCCACAGCUGCUACGUGGCAGGUAAGGGACCAUUAUUCCUCUGUCCCUUUCACAGAGGACAGGAGGAAAGUGAGGCCAGGUGGGUACAUGAGUUUAGCCUCUUUUCUGCAGAAGGCCCAGAUCAGCUUUGGACACAUUUGGUGCUGACCUCAAAUUCAGCCCUAGAGGGGCCUGUCUCUGCCCUGACUAUUGCGGUGCAGGCUUCUUCCCCUUUGUUCUGUCCAUUUCCAAAAAUGUGAACACACACCUCCUACAUGUUUGUGUAUAUUAUUGUGUGCAUAGAUAUUACCAUUGUAACAUUUUAUGCAGAUUAAAAAUGCAUUAUUGCAUUGAAAAUUUCAAAGGAAAUGUGUAAUAAAACAUUAAAAAUUAAUUUAUGUUUUUAUUGUCAAUGGACAUAAUCAAGUUCUCUGUAAAAUAUUAUGGCUUAAAAGGUAAUAUGAGCCAGGCACGGUGGCUCAAGCCUGUAAUCCCAACACUUUGGGAAGUGGAGGUGGCUGGAUCACUUGAGGUCAGGGGUUCGAGACCAGCCUGGCCAAUAUGGUGAAACCCCCGUCUCUACUAAAAAUACAAAAAAUUAGCCAGGCAUCGUGGCAGCUUCCUGUAAUCCCAGAUACUCGGGCAGCUGAGGCAGGAGAACUGCUUGAACCCGAGAGGCAGAGGUUUUGGUGUGCCAACAUUGUCCCAUUGCACUCCAGCCUGGGCAAUAAGAGUGAAACUCCAUCUGAAAACACACACACACACACACACACACACACACACAACAAAAAAUAAAAGGUAAUGUGGAUAUUAAUAAUGUUUCCUCAACAGGAAUGAUGGAGAAUACUCUAGUUUUCCUCUAGGCAUUUAAUUUUUGAAUUUCUGCCUUGGGUAAGGUAUUCUUG
rnacentral:lncRNA from 1 species